GGUGAAGCCGGACCGUGAGGACCGGUGGACGAGGCGGAAGUGAGAAUGCAGGCAUGAGUAGCGAAAAGGCGGGUGAGAAUCCCGCCCCCCGUAAGCCUAAGGGUUCUUACGGAAGGUUCGUCCGCGUAAGGUUAGGCGGGAGCUAAGGUGAGGCCGAAAGGCGUAGCCGAUGCACAGCCGGUCGACAUUCCGGCCCCACUCAGGGAUCGCUACGAGCCACGGAGGGACGCAGGAGGGUAGCCCUACCGGCGGCCGGAAGUGCCGGGCCAACCGGGUAGGCUGGGGUCCUAGGCAAAUCCGGGACCCCGUCAAGGCCGAGACGGGAGUGCGAGCGGGAUUGAGACGCCCGCGAAGUGGGUGAGCCCACACUGCCAAGAAAAGCUUCGUGGCCAGAUCCCUGGGUGCCCGUACCGCAAACCGACACAGGUAGGCAGGCACACAACGUGCCCAGGGGCGCGAGGGAACCCUCCUCAAGGAACUCGGCAAAUUGGCCCCGUAACUUCGGGAGAAGGGGUGCCCCGGUAGGGUGAGGUGACUCGCGCACCGAGCCCGAGGGGGUCGCAGGGAAUCGGCCCAGGCGACUGUUUAACAAAAACACAGGUCUCUGCUAAGCCGCAAGGCGAUGUAUAGGGGCCGACGCCUGCCCAGUGCCGGAAGGUAAAGGGGAGGGGUGAGGCCGAAAGGCGUAGCUCCAAACCGAAGCCCCGGUGAACGGCGGCCGUAACUAUAACGGUCCUAAGGUAGCGAAAUUCCUUGUCGGGUAAGUUCCGACCUGCAUGAAAGGCGUAACGACCUGGGCGCUGUCUCGAGGAGGGGCUCGGCGAAGGUGUACCACCCGUGAAGAUACGGGUUACCCGCAGCUGGACGGAAAGACCCCGUGGAGCUUUACUGCAGCCUGAUAUUGGAUGUGGUUUUGCCGUGUAUAGGAUAGGUGGGAGGCUGAGAAGCGGGGGCGCCAGCCUCCGUGGAGCCGCCCUUGGAAUACCACCCUCGGUAAGGCUACGUCCUAACCGGGGCCCUACAUCGGGUUCCGGGACAGUGUCAGGUGGGCAGUUUGACUGGGGCGGUCGCCUCCUAAAGGGUAACGGAGGCGCCCAAAGGUCCCCUCAGCACGGUUGGAAACCGUGCGUUGAGUGCAAGGGCAUAAGGGGGCUUGACUGCGAGACCCACAAGUCGAGCAGGGGCGAAAGCCGGGCCUAGUGAUCCUCUGGCGGCAAGUGGAAGCGCCAGGGCUUAACGGAUAAAAGCUACCCCGGGGAUAACAGGCUGAUCUCCCCCAAGAGUCCACAUCGACGGGGAGGUUUGGCACCUCGAUGUCGGCUCACCCCAUCCUGGGGGGGCAGUACCUCCCAAGGGUUGGGCUGUUCGCCCAUUAAAGGGGUACGUGAGCUGGGUUCAGACCGUCGUGAGACAGGUCGGUCCCUAUCCACUGCGGGCGCAGGUGGCUUGAGGGGGGCUGCUCCUAGUACGAGAGGACCGGAGUGGACGCACCUCUGGUGUACCGGUUGUCGCGCCAGCGGCACGCGCCGGGUAGCCAUGUGCGGUUGUGAUAAGCGCUGAAAGCAUCUAAGCGCGAAGCACGCCCCAAGAUGAGGCCACCCACCGGGUCAACCGGGUAAGGCCCCAGGAAGACCACCUGGUAGAUAGGCCGGAGGUGGAAGCGCGGCAACGCGUGAAGCCGACCGGUACUAAUCGGCCGAGGGCUUGGCGGC
rnacentral:rRNA from 1 species